AUAGCGAACAAGUACCGUGAGGGAAAGUUGAAAAGCACUCUGGAGAGAGAGUCAAAAGACCGUGAAACCGCUCAGAGUAUAAGCCCAUGGCAGCUUGGAAGGCAUAUCGCUAGCGGGGCAUCGGUCUCCCUUCACGGGGAGCUGGUGUUACCUUGCUUCUGUUGUGGCUCGUUAUGGUAGGGGGGUCAAGUCCACAUCCCGCCGUCGUGUGGGGAGUUCUUGGGCGCGUCGUGGCUUUGCGGUUGACCUCGGUUGGCCGUAGGGCUCUUCGUGCUUGGUUCUUCUUUAGACACGGACGUUCAGACUCAGUUGCAAGACGCGAUAACCAGCCCACCACGGCACGUUGUGAGGUCACCCACAGGCUCGACUUUCGAUUGUGGUCCUUGACGCCGAGCAAGCACUGUGCGUGUCGCAGAUGUUCCUAACCAGGCAAAACGUGUUUGUCAGGAUCGUGGAACGACACGCGCUCAACAGUCAGGACCGGGCGAUGACAGAGUUCUGGUAUGAUCCUCAUGCGACGAGCCGCCUUCUGGCCGAUUUCCGAUGCUCAGGUCUCCCGCAUGUGCCGCGGGAGAUCGCUUUGACGGUCUGGAGCUUCCACAAGUCCUCUCAGUCGGGCAACGGAAAGAGUGGUGUAAAGUCCAAGCCCAUCGGUCACGUCUCGAAACACGGGCCAAGGAGUAUAGCAUGUGUGCAAGUCUAAGGGUCUCACAAAACCCGAAGGCGAAGUGAAAGCAAGUAAGCGGCGGGUGAUCUA
rnacentral:rRNA from 1 species